UCGUUGGUCAGAAGGUUCCAAUCAUCGUUUUAUGUCAUCAUUUCCGAGCAGCGUCAACCACAACUGUUAUUACACCCUGUUUACUUUGGCGGCGGUAAAGGCCGUUUUUAUUGUGCUGUAACUAAAACUAGAAGAUCUGGCGUCCUUUCCCUUCGCCAAAGCGUACAUUUCCGGGGAGCCCGUGGCAUGGUGUCGUGACAGUUGAGGGAGAGGCUGAAAGCGGUGGCUAGCGAUGCGCUGUGACUGGGUCGGGGAUGUUAGGCGAUGGAGAACAAAGUGUGGGGCAUGGUGGUACAAAUAAAUGGGGAGAUAAUGUGAGUAGGAGUUUGAAGGGGAGAGAGAGGUAUGCGAGGCAGCAAAGGACGUUUGAAGAGAGCAACAGUUUCCAGCGGCAGUUCUGGGGUCGAGAGUGCAGAGGAAGGGCAAGGUGCAUCGCGAGGUGAGGAGGAGCAUAAAGUGAUUAUGAGCUUUAAGGGAGGAAGGGGAAUUUGGGGCGACGAGUCCGAUAAGGUUGACGGCUGUGAUAAAGUAGUUGAUUGGGGAAAUUGUCAACGCUAAAGUGUUACUAGAUGGGAGCUUGUUGGUGUUCUGUAAGGACAAUGCGCAGAGGGGGAAAAGCUCUUGAGUGAAGCAAAUAGGGAAGUGUAAGGUGGUGUCGAGCAGCUGGACUGAUCAUGCAGGAAAACAGUGGAUUAAAGGGGUGAUAACAGGAGUGCCUGUGAGUGUUGGCACUAAAGAGGUAAGGGACAACUUGAGAUGAGUUAUUCUAGUAAAUGAUCAAAUAUAGCAAGAAACAAGGGGUUGGAGUUAGGGUAGAUGGCCCGUUUAUUCUGUUACACUUCAAGGACCGGGUACUGCCAAAUAAAGUAACCCUAGGAUACAUGAGUUAUUAUAAACUGGAUGGUUUGAGCCCUGAAUUCUGAUUGGCUGAAGGCCAUAGUAUAUCAGACUGUAUACCACUGGUCUGACAAAACAUUUCGUUUUACUGCUCUGAUUACAUUGGUAACCAGUUUAUAAUAGCAAUAAGGCUCCUUAGCCUGAUGUGAUUUGUGUGCAGGAAACAUGGCUCGUAGGGACGAGGGACAGGGGUGGGGGGUGCCACUUUCAUAAAGCAAGGACUUUCUUAUAGGAUGCUAGGCAGAGGUAUUGAACAGGAAUAUGUAGUAGAUGAGGGGUGGUAGUAAACUACUAUAACCCGUGUCAGAUAUUAGACCUGGAAGUGCUGGAGAGGGUGGAGGGCCACAGGGAAAGAGUCUGCCUUGGACCUCACUCUGGUAUCUAGUGUGAUGGCAGGAAUCUGUGAGUGGGAGGUAAGGGAGGAGUAGGGAGUGAUCACUACUAUGCACAGUAGGCCGGAGGGAAGAGGUUCCAGUGGAUGGAGUAGGCAGGUGGGUGUUUGGAAGGGCAAAGUGGGAUCAGUUUCAGGAGCUGAGUGAGCAGGUGAUGGCUCGGGUGGAUAUGAGAGGGGAUGUGGACAGUAUGAAUAACUGGGUGAGAACAGCGUUAGUGGGGGCAGCUACUGAGGCGAUACCUAAGAGUUCAGGGAGGAGGAGGAAAGCAGUCCCGUGGUGGACGAAGGAGUGUGGGGCAGUUGUGAGGAAUAGAAACAAGACAUUUAGAGUACUGAAAAGGACGUAUAACUUCCAACACCUGAUUCAGUAUCAGCAGGCCCUGGUGAGGAGAACUAUCCCUCAGUCUGAUUCAGUAUCAGCAGACCCAGGCCCUGGUGAGGAGAACUAUCCCUCAGUCUGAUUCAGUAUCAGCAGGCCCUGGUGAGGAGAACUAUCCCUCAGUCUGAUUCAGUAUCAGCAGGCCCUGGUGAGGAGAACUAUCCCUCAGUCUGAUUCAGUAUCAGCAGACCCAGGCCCUGGUGAGGAGAACUAUCCCUCAGUCUGAUUCAGUAUCAGCAGGCCCUGGUGAGGAGAACUAUCCCUCAGUCUGAUUCAGUAUCAGCAGGCCCUGGUGAGGAGAACUAUCCCUCAGUCUGAUUCAGUAUCAGCAGACCCAGGCCCUGGUGAGGAGAACUAUCCCUCAGUCUGAUUCAGUAUCAGCAGGCCCUGGUGAGGAGAACUAUCCCUCAGUCUGAUUCAGUAUCAGCAGGCCCUGGUGAGGAGAACUAUCCCUCAGUCUGAUUCAGUAUCAGCAGGCCCUGGUGAGGAGAACUAUCCCUCAGUCUGAUUCAGUAUCAGCAGGCCCUGGUGAGGAGAACUAUCCCUCAGUCUGAUUCAGUAUCAGCAGGCCCUGGCCCUGGUGAGGAGAACUAUCCCUCAGUCUGAUUCAGUAUCAGCAGACCCAGGCCCUGGUGAGGAGAACUAUCCCUCAGUCUGAUUCAGUAUCAGCAGGCCCUGGCCCUGGUGAGGAGAACUAUCCCUCAGUCUGAUUCAGUAUCAGCAGGCCCUGGUGAGGAGAACUAUCCCUCAGUCUGAUUCAGUAUCAGCAGGCCCUGGUGAGGAGAACUAUCCCUCAGUCUGAUUCAGUAUCAGCAGGCCCUGGUGAGGAGAACUAUCCCUCAGUCUGAUUCAGUAUCAGCAGGCCCUGGUGAGGAGAACUAUCCCUCAGUCUGAUUCAGUAUCAGCAGGCCCUGUUGAGGAGAACUAUCCGUCAGGCGAAUUGGUCAUGUUGGUGUUGGUUCUGUAACACCAUUGGAAGGGCGACACCUGUGGGAAAAGUAUGGGGGAUGAUCAAGAGGAUGAGUCUGGUCAGAAGGGAGUGGGAGACUACAGAAAGAUAGGGAGGGUGUUGAUCCAUCUGGAGAGACUACAGAAAGAUAGGGAGGGUGUUGAUCCAUCUGGAGCGACUACAGAAAGAUGGGGACUGUGCCCUGCGACCCAAUGUACACCUGGCCCACCAUCGAUCUGGACUGUCUCUAUGACCAUGUUCACCUGUACAGGGAGACACUCCCCAUCCUUGCCAAGACUCUCAAGGACGUCGCUUUAAACCGCAGUCCGACCUCUCCACCCAGGAACAGCAGAGCAAUCUCCACCCCGAAAAAGAUCACCGGGACAAUACCCCGGACCAGCACCCUGGGACUCCCAGCCACGACCACAGCCCAGCUUCAGAGCCACCCAGACGAGGCCUCCCACCCCCCCCCCCCCCCACCGCAGACCCACACUUGGAGGAGCCACAGCCCAGCAGGCACAGGCUGUGAGAGGAGCAUCUGGCCCAGCCCCCACCAACCAAAUGAGUGACAUUAAACAUGCUGAGUCUACUAUGCUCACAUGUGAUAGGCCGAGGGUCAUGGUCACUAAUGGUACCAGGUGUGUGACUGGUAGUGGGCUUGCUGACGGAGAACAGAUGGAGAGGUUGUGGUCCUACGUUAGAACAUUUGUGAAGAUCACAAAAGAGAUGACACCAACUCAUCGUGUUGACGCCCUCAAAGAUGCCCUCUACUACACAUCCAGGGUCAGGGAGAAGCAAGGUAUAACUGUAUAACUGGAAAUCAGCAGCACCCAGUCGGACGUGGAAGAUUGGACCCGUCGGAUGGAGACCCUCACAGACAAGAGGACGUUGUUCCUUACCUGGCAGGAGAGAUGCGUGGAAACUCUCGCAGAACAACAAUGGACAAACCAUUGCUGUGUGGCUCUCCAGAAAAAUCAAGCGGACAUCGGAGAGAAUAAAACUGCAGAUCAACGCCUGAAGAUGCAUAACAUGUGCCUUAGAGCAGCAGAGGAGAGGCACACAAUACAGGCAGACCUACACAUUUACAUUUACAUUUAAGUCAUUUAGCAGACGCUCUUAUCCAAUGGCCUUUUGUAUUGCCAGCAAGAGCUGGGGCGUUUUAAAGAUGCAUAACAUGUGCCUUAGGGCAGCAGAGGAGAGGCACACAAUACAGGCAGACCUACACAAUGGCCUUUUGUAUUGCCAGCAAGAGCUGGGGCUUUUUAAAGAUGCAUAACAUGUGCCUUAGAGCAGCAGAGGAGAGGCACACAAUACAGGCAGACCUACACAAUGGCCUUUUGUAUUGCCAGCAAGAGCUGGGGCUUUUUAAAGAUGCAUAACAUGUGCCUUAGAGCAGCAGAGGAGAGGCACACAAUACAGGCAGACCUACACAAUGGCCUUUUGUAUUGCCAGCAAGAGCUGGGGCUUUUUAAAGAUGCAUAACAUGUGCCUUAGAGCAGCAGAGGAGAGGCACACAAUACAGGCAGACCUACACAAUGGCCUUUUGUAUUGCCAGCAAGAGCUGGGGCUUUUUAAAGAUGCAUAACAUGUCAAAUGCAGAACAUAUUUAAGCUCCAGCAAGCAUUUUCAAAUGUUUGCUGAUGAUGGCACGGUCAGCACAGAUGUAAAAGAGGACAGUGAAUCAGAAGAUGAAAGUGGUUGAGGUGUGUGUGUGUGUGUGUGUGUGUGUGUGUGUGUGUGUGUGUGUGUGUGUGUGUGUGUGUGUGUGUGUGUGUGUGUGAGAGAGAGAGAGUUUUAUAGGGCAAACUAUACAGAGUAUUUCUAACAUUAGGAACAACUUCCUAAUAUUGAGUUGCACCCCCCCCCAGCCCCCCUUUUGCCCUCAGAACAGACUCAAAUCGUCAGUGAACCUGUACCCCCGCACAUUGACCCGGUACCGGUACCCCCUGUAUUUAGCCUCGUUAUCGUUAUUUAAUAGUUACUUUUUUAAACUUUAUUUAGUAAAUGCAUUUUCUUAACUCUAUUUUCUUAACUGCAUUGUUGUAUAAGGGCUUGUAAGUAAGUAUUUCAUGGUCAAGUUUACACCUGUUGUAUUCGGCGCAUGUGACAAAUGCAAUUUGAUUUGGCUCUACAAUGUGUCGAAGCGUUCCACAGGGAUGCUGGCCCAUGUUGACUCCAAUGCUUCCCACAGUUGUGUCAAGUUGGCUGGAUGUCCUUUGGGUGGUGGACCAUUCUUGACACACUUGUGAAAAACCCAGCAGCGUUGCAGUUCUUGACACAACGGUGCGCCUGGCACUUACUUCCAUAACCCUGUUCGAAGUCAUUUAAAUAAUUUGUCUUGCCCAUUCACCCUUCUGAAGGGCACACAAUCCACGUCGCAAUUGUCUCAAGGCUUAGAAAUCCUUUAACCAUUCUCCUCCCCUUCAUCUACACUGAUUUAAAUGUAUUUAACAAGUGACGUCAAUGAGGGAUCAUAUCUUUCACCUGGAAUCACCUGGUCAGUUUACAUAAUGGAAAGAGCAGGUGUCCUUAAUGUUUAUUACACUCAUUGUAUAUGUUUGUCAUACUUGGGACAAAUAGGAUGUUAUGCUGAAAAAUAUGUCGGUCAGACAAGACUAUGUAUGUUCGUGCACAUGGAAGUCAGUGAUUUAUGUUACCUAUACUGUAGGUUAAUGAGGCAAUACAAAUGUGAUGUGACCAACAUAUGGAUUAAAUGAAAGGGCCGAGAUUCAUCAAAACCUUAAGAAGACAUUUCUUAACUGUCUUGGGAAGAAGUUUUUUUUAACUCAAAAAGGUUAUUGGAAAUGUUAUUGUGCAAUUUAUUAUAUUUCCCAUUCAGCAUAAAGUUGGGAAGGAAUUAGAUUCUUGAAAAUUAUGUUAUUGGAUUUGUUCUUAAUUCCAAGAUGGCUAAACUCUUGUAUUAAACUCGGUGAGAGAAUAAGCUCAUGUUUAAUUCACUCACAAACUUCA